CGGUCAACUGUUUUCCCCUACCUACACUACUUGGAGGAAAGAUAAAACUCAGAAGGAAUCUUAGCUUCCUCCAUCUAAAAGGAUUGGAGCUGAAGAAUACAUGCUACAGAUGCUCAGAAUCUUUCUAUGAGACUGCUGGUGACACGAACAGAGCAGGAGGGCAUGGGGCCUUGGAUGACCUUGAAUUCCUGGCUGUCUUCUGUGGACUCCCAUGCAGAUUCCAGUUUCCAGCAUACCCAUGGCUUUCUGAUGGAGAAGACUCAGUGAAGCUGCGUCACUUAUGCAGCUCCAGGUGGCGGUCACUCGGCUCAAGGUGGUGGAGUUGGAACUCAGACCUAUGUCACCGUGACAAGCCCUGGACUCCGGUGCGGCUGGGCCUGGGGCUACCUGAAGGGAGAGCAGAGACUCAGGUGCCCGGUGAGCAAUGGCAGUGAGGAGAAGCAGAGAGCAACGCCAGCAAGCAACGCCUCCUGCCCCUGCUUUUGCUCUUGUGUCUCUUGACCCUGUGAGGUCCAGC
rnacentral:lncRNA from 1 species